CAGUCGCCACGGUAAUACGGAGGGGGCUAGCGUUGUUCGGAAUUACUGGGCGUAAAGCGUGCGUAGGCGGUUCGUUAAGCCUGCUGUGAAAGCCCCGGGCUCAACCUGGGAAUGGCAAUGGAUACUGGCGAGCUAGAGUGUGUCAGAGGAUGGUGGAAUUCCCGGUGUAGCGGUGAAAUGCGUAGAGAUCGGGAGGAACAUCAGUGGCGAAGGCGGCCAUCUGGGACAACACUGACGCUGAGGCACGAAAGCGUGGGGAGCAAACAGGAUUAGAUACCCGCGUAGUCCCUGUCUCUUAUAC
rnacentral:rRNA from 1 species